ACUUGAAUAGCUUAUAAUGUAGAGUAAAACAUUGAAGAUGUUUAGGAGAUAAUUUUGUCUUUAAGUA
rnacentral:tRNA from 1 species